rnacentral:lncRNA from 1 species
CUUCCCGCUUCUCACCCCUUCCUCUCUUCUCUUCGCGUCUCUCUCUCUCCGUAUCUCCCCGACGCUGGCAGGAGCGAUGGCGGCUCCCGGGACCGGGGCUCGAUGGCGGCGCCCACCUUCCUCCUCCUCCUCCGUUCCUCCCUCCCCGCCUGCUUCGCACCUCCGUUCCUCCCUCCCCUUCAUCUCUCUCUCUCCCUCCCUCCCGAGGUGGCGGCGGGCGCAAGGUGACGGCGCCCCCUCCCUCUCCCUCAGCCUCCACGUGGUCUCCUCAACGCCUCCUCCCGCUGGUGAGCAUCAACAUGUGCUUCUGUGCUUGACGAAACCCUAGCACACACAGCUGUGCAGGCGCGGCGGCCCCUCCAUGGGCACACCUCAACGCCGCGUCAGUCUGCGUUUCUUCCUCCAGGUACGCCCACCCUUUCUCUUCCCUUCCUGCUGUUCGAAACCGAGCACCCAGACCAUACCUCUUCAAUCUCUGAUAUGAUCUAAUUACAACGUAUUGCGCUUACUAGUCUCAGUGUUGUUUCAAUUCAACUGUUAUGCAUGCUAUUGCCUACGGAUCAAUAUGCAUGCAAUUGACAGUACUCCCUACGGAUCAAAUAUACAUGCAGUUCAGAAAUUUAAAGGUGAACCAUUUAAUCACUUAUUUAAAUGGUGGUUCGAUCCAAGAUUUUUGUUUUUGGUGUUGGUAGUUUUUCAGAGCCUUGCAAUAUUCAGUGCCAGCAGCUGCACAUAUAUGUAGUGUGAAGACGAUGCAUUCUUAGUUACUCUGUUACACAAAAUCUUUCCGAACAAAUGCUAUCUCAUAAUAAUAAUGAGGAUCCCUGCACAUAGUCAGAGAGCUUCAGAAAUUUGAUGGUGUUGGUAAUAAAUAAAAGUAAACCUUUAUUGUCAUUCCAAAAUACAAGGCUGUCAAGGGCCUUGUUGUCGAAGGUAGGAGGCCCUCGGCUACGGAGGUCGUAGCCUCGGUCUGUGUCGUCUCCGGUGAGGUUUUCCCCCUCCACCGUAGGCUUGGUUGAGAGGUAGAAGGAGAUUGGAAAUAAUAAUAUUGCUUAACCAUCAAAGUACCGAUUACAAUCUCUUAAUAGCCUCUGGCUAAACAGCCAUGCCUAAGAAUAAGGAAAGCCAAACAACUAAUUUAGAAAGGCAAACAACUAACUGAUACUAUCUAUUCUCAGCCACUAACCGUGGCCUCCCCAGCCACAGGCUGGUCGCGCUCUGUGGCGCGGGCCUCCCUAGCCGCGGCCUGGGCGCGCUCUGUGGCGCGGCGCACAUCUCGCGCACGACGGCGUCUCACGUACGUGCGCCCCCACAUGACAUCUCCCCCUUCCUUGAGAGCCAGCGCGUCCUCGAGCUGGAAAUCUGGGUACUUGGCGGUGAAGGUGUCAAUGUCCUCCCAGGUAGCUGAAGCCGGUGAUGUCCCCUUCCACUGGAUCAGAAGCUGGCGGACACCCCGUGCUAGGCGUGCCUUGACUGCACGUUCGGGCUCCGGGAUCACCGCACCGUGGUGGACAGCGGGCAAGGGCGGUGGAGCAUCCGGCGGCGCGCCAUGGAACUUCUUGAGGAGCCCAACGUGACACACGUCAUGCAGCCUGGCGCGCGGCGGAAGGGCGAGACGAAUAGCGACGUCGUUGAUGAGCUCGGUGACGCGGUACGGCCCGUAGAAGCGUGGGCGCAGCUUGCCAGUCGCGGGCUGGGACAGGGAGGCCGUCGGGCGAUGACGGAGGCGGAGCAGCACCCAGUCGCCCACCGUGUACGCGACCUGACGGUGGUUCUUGUCGUAGUGGCGCUUCUGGACCUGCUGAGCUUGCUCCAGGCGGGCGCGGAUGUCGGCGAGGAAUUCAUCCCGUUCUUCCAGGGACUUGGCAACCGCGGCCACCCUGGUGUCUCCUGGUGCGUACGACCGGAUGGACGGAGGGUCCCGGCCAUACACCACUCUGAAUGGAGUGUCGCGGAGCGAUGACUGAUAAGCGGUGUUGAAGACGUACUCCGCCCACGGGAGCCACCGCAGCCACUGCCUUGGCCGGUCACCAGUUAGGCAUCGCAGGAACAUGAUGAUGACGCGGUUGGCCGACUCGGAUUGCCCGUCAGACUGGGGGUGGAACGCCGUCGUCAUGUGGAGCCGGGUGCCCACCAAGCGCAUCAGCUCGCGCCAAAAGGUGGAGGUGAAGACCGUGUCCCUGUCCGACACGAUGGACUGCGGCACCCCAUGGAGGCGGACGAUCUCGGCGAAGAACACUUGGGCGACGGACUCGGCGGAGUACGGGUGGGAUAGUGGAAGGAAGUGGCAAUACUUGCUGAAUCUGUCCAUGACCGUCAGGAUGACUGAUUUCCCCCGGACGCGCGGCAGCGCCUCCACAAAAUCGAGGGCGAUGUCAGUCCACACACCUUGGGGCACCGGCAGCGGCAGAAGCAGACCCGCCGGAUGCAGCUGUUCUGAUUUGUAGCGCUGACAAGUCGGGCAUGCCCGCACCCAAUCCUGCACAAGCUUUUUCAUGUUAGGAAAAUGGAAGUCGCGCCUCAGCCGAUGCAGCGUGCGCUGGACUCCUUCGUGUCCCUUCGCAUGUACAGCCGCCAGCAGCUCGGGCAGCAAGGGGGACGCCGGCGGAAUAUACAGCCGCCCGCCGAACUGAAUGAACCCGUCCACCUGCGCCCAGGGGAGGCCCCGGGAGCCUGCUGCGAGGUCGUCGUGCAGGGCGACGAGGGCAGGAUCCGAUGCCUGUGCUUGGCGGAGCCGGUCGAGGAAGUCGAAUUGGGGGGCCGAGAGUGCCAGAACCGAGCCCUCCGUCGGCGUAUCCCGGCGGGACAGCGCGUCCGCCACCGCAUUUGUUGUCCCCGGCUUGUAUUCGACGGAGAAAUCAAAGCGAAGGAGCUUCCCCACCCAAUGAUGCUGCGGAAUUGUAGCGAGACGUUGAUCCAGCAAAUAUUUGAGGCUGUAGUGGUCGGUCUUCACGGUGAAACGACGCCCCCACAGAUACGGUCGCCAGUGCCGGACCGCGUGCACGAGACCGAUCAACUCACGCUCAUAAGCCGCGAGCGCUCGAUGGCGAGGGGCCACCGGUCGGCUGAAGAAAGCCACCGGGUGGCUGUCCUGGACCAGCACCGCACCGAAACCGUGGGAGGAGGCGUCGCACUCGACGAUGAAGGCCUUGGAGAAGUCCGGCAUGGCGAGAACUGGGGCAGAGGUGACCGCGGCCUUGAGGGCCUCGAAUGCCGCCGCGGCCUCCCCUGACCACAGAAAGCCGUCCUUCUUCAGCAGGGCGGUGAGCGGCGCUGCAAUGGUUCCGUAGUUGUGCACGAACUUGCGGUAGUAGCCCGCCAAGCCGAGGAAGCCGCGUACCGCACGUGCCGAGCGCGGGGUCGGCCACGCCUGCACCGCCUGCACCUUGGCCGGGUCCAUGGCCACGCCCGUCGCGGAGAUGACAUGGCCCAAGUACGCGACGGAGGAGGUGGCGAAGGCGCACUUGGAGCGCUUGAGGAAGAGUCGUUGCUGCUGGAAUUCGCUGAGGACGGCGCGGAUGUGUCGAAGGUGAUCCGCCCAUGUGCGGCUGUAGAUUAGUAUGUCAUCAAAAAACACAAGAACGAACCGGCGGAGAAACGGGCGGAGGACAUCAUUCAUUAGCGCCUGGAACGUGGCCGGCGCGUUGCACAGCGCAAACGGCAUGACGAGGAACUCGUAGAGGCCGUCGUGAGUGCGGAAGGCGGUCUUGUGGAUGUCGGCCGGCCGCAUCCGCACCUGGUGGUAUCCCGAGCGUAGAUCCAGCUUGGUGAAGAACCGCGCCCCGUGGAGUUCAUCCAAGAGUUCGUCGACGACGGGAAUGGGGAAGGCGUCCUUGACCGUAAUCGCGUUGAGCGCGCGGUAGUCGACGCAGAAACGCCACGACCCGUCUUGCUUCUUGACAAGGAGGACUGGAGAAGAAAACGCGGAGUCGCUGCGGCGGACAAUGCCCUGCGCGAUCAUGGCAGCACACUGUCGUUCCAGUUCAUCCUUGUGGGCGGCGGGGUAGCGGUAGGGUCGCACGGCCACCGGCUGUGCCCCCGGCUUGAGGACGAUAGCGUGGUCGCGUCCACGCUGCGGGGGCAGGCCAGAGGGCUCGGCGAAGACCCCCUGGAAGUAGUCCAGCAGCUCGCCAAGCAGGUCCGCCGCGACGGCGCCGGGCGCGCAGGCACGUCAGACCAGCACACCACCCGGUCCUGCCGAGCAAAGGACAUGGUGCGUGCCUGGAAAUCCCACGUGAUCGGCCCCGUGUCGAGGAGGGCGAUCAGCGUGACGGCGCCCACCUGCACCUUGACCUGCAUGGUGUCGCACGGGGGCACCCCGGCAACAGCCCGGAGCGAAAAAACAGGGGCCUCCUCAUCAGGCCCGUCGAUGGCAGCGGCUUCACCGUCAGUGAGGGUGACCCCGUCGAUGUAGAACAGCCGGCGGCAGACCCGGUUGUGGCCGCGGGAGUAUUUCUCGUCGCAGUUGUAACACAGUCCCAAACGGCGACGUUCCGCCUGCUCCUCCGUCGAGAGACGUUUGACCGGCUUGGGUUACUGCCUGGCACCCCCUGCGCCGGCCGGUGGUGGGGGGGCAGGGAGCGCGAGGCGCGGCGCCGGGGCAGGGAGCAGGGCGCGGCCCGCAGGACGUACGGGGGUCGGCACCGCGGCCGGCCUGUCGAGCUCCAUCAACUCCACCUGCCGGGCGAGGCUCAUGGCGCUGCUUCUCCUGCAGGGGCCCGGCGCGGGGCAGGAGCGCCUGGAACCAGUUCUGGUAUUCUUCGACAGUCCCGGUGCGCCGGCACUCCGCGAGUUCGAAGAGCGGCGCGGAGCGCAGAGGCGGCCCAAAGCGCAGCUGGAGCAGAUCCUUGAAGUGAUUCCACCCCGGCACGCCCUCGUCUUCACGGAGCUGGUAGUACCACAUCUGAGCCACAUCCUCCAAAUUGUACGAGGCCAUCAGACCUUCUCCUCCUCCAUGAUCCGCUGUUGGUGGAAGUAAGAUUCACAGCGGGUGAGGAAGAUCAACGGGUCGACCGUACCGUCGUAGCGCGGGAAGUCCAUUUUCUGGAAGCGCGGGGGACGGUCAGUGUGGUGUUGGCCGUCAAAAGUCCCGCCCGGCCCCGACGAGGAGGAUUUCUCCUUGUCCUUCUUCAGGGUCGCGACAUCAGACUGCAGGGACGCGAUCGUGCCGGUGAGGGUCUCAAUCAUCUUGGCGAUGUCGGCGUUGGACGGCUCCGCCAUGGGUGAAACGGCAGAGGCGGCUGAUGGUGGGGAAGGGGGUGGGCUGUGAUGGGGGGCGGCGGCAGUGGAAGACUCCGCGGCGGACGGCGAGGACCGGUGUGACCGUGAUACCAGGUUGUCAAGGGCCUUGUUGUCGAAGGUAGGAGGCCCUCGGCUACGGAGGUCGUAGCCUCGGUCCGUGUCGUCUCCGGUGAGGUUUUCCCCCUCCACCGUAGGCUUGGUUGAGAGGUAGAAGGAGAUUGAAAAUAAUAAUAUUGCUUAACCAUCAAAGUACCGAUUACAAUCUCUUAAUAGCCUCUGGCUAAACAGCCAUGCCUAAGAAUAAGGAAAGCCAAACAACUAAUUUAGAAAGGCAAACAACUAACUGAUACUAUCUAUUCUCAGCCACUAACCGUGGCCUCCCCAGCCGCAGGCUGGUCGCGCUCUGUGGCGCGGGCCUCCCUAGCCGCGGCCUGGGCGCGCUCUGUGGCGCGGCGCACGUCUCGCGCACGACGGCGUCUCACGUACGUGCGCCCGGCGGCCCCUCCCUCUCCCUCAGCCUCCACGUGGUCUCCUCAACGCCUCCUCCCGCUGGUGAGUAUCAACAUGUGCUUCUGUGCUCGACGAAACCCUAGCACACACAGCUGUGCAGGCGCGGCGGCCCCUCCAUGGGCACACCUCAACGCCGCGUCAGUCUGCGUUUCUUCCUCCAGGUACGCCCACCCUUUCUCUUCCCUUCCUGCUGUUCGAAACCGAGCACCCAGACCAUACCUCUUCAAUCUCUGAUAUGAUCUAAUUACAACGUAUUGCGCUUACUAGUCUCAGUGUUGUUUCAAUUCAACUGUUAUGCAUGCUAUUGCCUACGGAUCAAUAUGCAUGCAAUUGACAGUACUCCCUACGGAUCAAAUAUACAUGCAGUUCAGAAAUUUAAAGGUGAACCAUUUAAUCACUUAUUUAAAUGGUGGUUCGAUCCAAGAUUUUUGUUUUUGGUGUUGGUAGUUUUUCAGAGCCUUGCAAUAUUCAGUGCCAGCAGCUGCACAUAUAUGUAGUGUGAAGACGAUGCAUUCUUAGUUACUCUGUUACACAAAAUCUUUCCGAACAAAUGCUAUCUCAUAAUAAUAAUGAGGAUCCCUGCACAUAGUCAGAGAGCUUCAGAAAUUUGAUGGUGUUGGUAAUAAAUAAAAGUAAACCUUUAUUGUCAUUCCAAAAUACAAGGCACUAUGAUAAAUAAAAGUAAAUCUUUUAAAUUUGGCAUUGCUAUGCCGGAACGAAGACUGCACGAAUCGUGCAUGUGGCGAAUUCAUGCCUUUCAUCUCUACCUCUCUUUUGUGCUUCUAUAAUCCUUAAUUCUCCCUUACAAUACCUGCCCGAUUCCUCUUGGAGAAGCCUGGUCCAUGUCACUCCAAAUAUUUUCGGCUGCUGGAUCUUCGAUCGUGUGUCCGCCGUUGUUUGGAGCAGAUUCGGAUGAAAGCGGCUUCUGCUGCUCCUUCCUCGCUUCCAUUGUCUUUCCUCGCUUUUGCCACGCGUGGGCAUUUUUUUCGCUCUAUGGUUACAUAUAUACAAUAAUUGCUUCUUUAUUGCAUUAGGGUUCAUGUUGAUUCAACUUGGUCAUUGUGCUGCUGUUGGAGCUCAGGACAUGCAUCAUUUGCGCAGGGAUAUUCGGUUUAGUAUGUGGCAGUUUUAUUCUAUGUGAUAAUUUGGUGUCUCAAAUAGCACGUCCUUAUGUAGAUAUGUACUGAUUGUUUCUUAGCAGGAUCACCUC